GUACAUAAACGCCAACGUGUACAUAGAGAUUUUCAUUGAAAAGGUGUACUCCGGAAUUAUUCCGCUUUUGACUCCAUUUUAUAUUUUUAUUUGAGCUCUCUACGUUUGAGGUAGCAAAGGUAUACACAUGAAUACAAAAACGAAAAAAAGUUUCUUUUUUUCUCUCUUUUGAAAUGGUAAUAUACGCUGUUAAAAUAUAUAAACAUGCAGAUAUGUAGUACCUAUUGCAAGAUUGCAAUAUUUUUAAAAAUUGUUACAUAAAAAAGUAAGCAAAUUCAGUUCUAGAAUUAAUAGAUUAAAUUAAACUACAGGGACUUCGGCUUGUCAACUAAAAUCACCACGGACCUGCUAGAGCACUAGAUUUUUCAUUACAGAAGAAGUUUAAGAACUGAAUCGUUUCUCUAUAGAGAAACAGGGUAUAGAUGAGUGAUCUAGUGUUUGAGUUCACUGAGGAUGUGGCUGUCAUCCUAACAAACAAAGGUUUACAUAGUAUUUAUCAGGCAACAUUCAGACAGUCAGAUAUUCUACAUUUCGGAUACGGAAUAAAGAAAUUGCUGUUGAGGAAGAGAGAAGUUUCUGUGACGAGAUUGAUACACAUAGAGCAUUUGAGUGUAAUGAAGUUGUGAGUAGUAUUUUAACCAAAAGAACAUCUACCCUAACAACAGUGAAGAUUAAAGGGAUCAGUUGCUGUAUGGUGAUAUUGAAAGAAAUCCAGGACCUACAAUGGUUUAUGAAGACUUCUUAGAGCUUGCCAUAUAAGUGUCAACAAUUUUAAAGAACAGAGAAGACUAUUAUUGCACUUAGUUUUGAGUUUUUGUUUUAUAUUUUAUCACUAUGAUAGACUAAUGUUAAAUUCAGGAAUUGUAUUUUUCUGAUAUAUCUGUUUUGU